UGAACGCCGGAGCGCUCCCCUCUCGCCGCUUGCCUCGCCCAGCACAGCCCCGGCCGCCGGGCGCACCCGUCCCGUUCGUCCCCGGACGUUGUUCUGUACCCCGGGAACGUCGAGACUGGAGCGCCCGAACUGAGCCACCUUCGUGGACCCCGAGCGCUGCGGCGCGACUCACCGCGGAGGCGCCCGGACGCGUCAAGUGCGUACUUUCAACCGUAAAUGUGUGCUGAGCGUUUAGGGGUGCGGGGCAACUCCCUAACUCGAGGGGCCCUGGCCAGCCCUGCGGCCGCGUCCGAGACCUUCUGAUCCCUCGCUGCAGCGCGCGGCGCGGGGUUGGCGACUUUGGCUCAGGGGCGAUGGGGCGGGGAGGUGCCUUGACCUAGGGUCCCAGCGGCCGGGAGCAAGUCUCGUUUCGCCUUGGACCGCUGUGUACCCCAGGGCAGGGCCUGAACCAGGUCGCGAGAGUCUGUACCCCAUCUGGGGAGCUGAACUGCCCGGGACACUCUCGCAGUUGCGGGGACUUGUCUGGAGCGGCGGGGCCGGAGCCCAAGUCCGAAGCCGCCGCCACCAGCGUCCCGUGCGCCUGCGGCCCCGGGGACCAACCGCCGAACUACUUCUCAGGACGGAGACAGCGCUCACCGCCCGGGCCGAGGCCCAGCCGAAUAGGAAGCAUCUGAUCCACACUCUAGCCCCAGGGAUGUUCAGGGAAGCAGCCCUUCCUUAGGGCUGUCAGGUGCCUUGGGGACCUGUUGCUGUGUCAUGGGCCCACAGACUGCACUCCGUUCCUCAGGAUUCCAGAAUACUGGACAAAGCUCGAAGGCCAGUUUGACUCCUGCAGCCUCUCAUGCAGGUGAGGACAGACCCAAGGUCCCGGCGAUACUGGCUACUGGAACACAGAACCUGGAUUAGUGACCCCCACUCCACUGCUCUCCCUCUUCUAGACCCUCUCUCCUUCAGGGCAACCCCUGUCUCUCCUUCCCAUCUCUCUCCAGGGCUGCACCCUUGGCUCACCUUAGACCUGGCUUUUCCUACCUGUUGCCCCUACCAUCUUGUCCCGUCCCAGUGGUCAGGAGGGAGAGUACCGGCCAAAGGCCCGGCUCUACCUAUGACUUAGAGGAGCACUAGGCAUCACCCAGAGGUCCUGGCCCCCAGGGUCCUGGCAGGCCCUACUGUGGGGGAAGCAGAGUUAGAACUGGGGCUGCUUCUCCUGCCCCGCAGCCUGGCUGGGCCUCCUCCGCCUCCCUUUCUGCCUGCCCUCUUACAACUCCAGCAGGGGGCGGGCAGGGGAAAGAAAAGGAGGGACAAGCUGGAUGGGGUCCAUCUGGUGUCCAGGAGCAACUUGGAGAGAGGCGGGGAGGAGACUGGCGGCAGGGCCCUGGCAGAUCAGGAGAGGGCUGGCCUUUGGAUGGCCUUCUGAUCCCAAGCCCAUCCUCCCGGGGCAGUCUGCCCUUGAAAGGGAGGGGCUUGGUGGACCCUGGCGCGGACGCCUCCCCUCACUGCUGCAGUGUGGGGCAUGAUAGGCGGGUUUGCAGUGGGCACAGCCUCUCUCCAGAGCAGCUCCCAGGACCCAGAGAGGCUGUCGCAGAGACUCCCCUCUGGGGUAGGGUGGGUCCUAAUGGCCCUUGGUUCCCCUGCGGGAGGACCUCCUGAGGCUUCAGGCAAGAGCUGGUCCAUGCCUGGAGGAUGGUGCUGGCGAUCGGCAGGUGUGUGCGCCUCGGCGGCCCUGCUGCCUGGUGCUCAGCCCUGCUUCAACACUCACCCUUUGUCUCCCGUCCCCAUCCACCGGCCUCUUGAAGCACAGAGAGCCUCUGGGGAGUUUCCUUCCUCUGGGCUUCUGCUAAUGCUAUCACCUGCUCCCCUCUUCCACCUGGAGACCCCCAUUUCUCCUCCUCCUCUGCUGCCCUCACCUCCGCCUGGGCCCUCCCAGCUCCCGGGAGACAGGAGAUGGCUGAACUCCACUCCCGCUCGCUCGUCAUCCUCUUCAGCGGUCCUCCUGGAGCCGUCCUCGGGACCGCAGCCUCCACAGCCCCGGGGCUCACCCCCGGCUUCAUGUCUGCCACUGACUCCAGACCUGCCCCUCCCAGGCUAGCCCAGAUGAGAUCCUGUGCAGUGACUAACCCAAACCAGCGCGGGGCAGGGACCCAAUAAACCUCUGUGAACCGAG